rnacentral:rRNA from 1 species
CAGCCGCCGCGGUAAUACGGAGGGUGCAAGCGUUAAUCGGAAUUACUGGGCGUAAAGCGCACGCAGGCGGUCUGUCAAGUCGGAUGUGAAAUCCCCGGGCUCAACCUGGGAACUGCAUUCGAAACUGGCAGGCUAGAGUCUUGUAGAGGGGGGUAGAAUUCCAGGUGUAGCGGUGAAAUGCGUAGAGAUCUGGAGGAAUACCGGUGGCGAAGGCGGCCCCCUGGACAAAGACUGACGCUCAGGUGCGAAAGCGUGGGGAGCAAACAGGAUUAGAUACCCCCGUAGUCCCUGUUUCUUAUAC